GUCCACCUGCGUUCUUUUCUCAAAUAACAAGCAUCACGCAGAGCUAAAACAUAAAACUUUUAUCAUAAGAAAUUAUUUACAAAAAUACAGGCUAUAGAUCCUAAAGACGACUAGCUGAUUCUCUAAACGCGUUAUUGGACAAUUUGGCUUUAUAAAAAGCCGUUUAGUCAAAGGAGCUGCUAAAAGGUGAUUUACGUGGGUUUUCAGAAUAUGAAUAGCAAACGCAUUUAUUUUCUCUUUAAAAGUAGUCCAAGUUAUUUUUUAAACACUGGAAGACGAGACUUUUUUGUAGUGAAGAGCCAGUCCCUUGUAGAAUGACGUCAAUGUCGAUAAACGAAUUUUCUUAUAUGAGACGGGAGUGGGAAACCGGGCUUGGGCUGACCCAGACAAUGGCCGUGUCAAUUUACUUUCUGGACAACUUUUUAAUAUCGAAAGAUUAAUGCUCAGUGUCACUGCUGAGAGCUGCUGGUGAAGAUUAUGUGAAUUAUCUCAUGAAUGAAUCAGUUUUUACCUUUAAUGCAAUUGCCAAAUAUGUUACCACAGCAACAAAUUAAUCAACUGGUGCAUUGAUUUCAUUUGUUUGCUGGCACUGAUAUCGAUUAAAAUUGAACAUUUAAAUGGUUCUUUUUUUUAAUCACGUGUCAAGAUUGCUGCAACAAUGUUAUCACAUCCACAUGCAAUAUAUAACUAAAAACGACUUUUAGCAAACAGUGACUACUGUAAGAGCUGACAUCACACUGAAAACAAUUCCAAGCUGUACUUAAUUCAACUAAAAUGUAUCUUUCAUUUUAAAUAUAGUUAAAUAAAUAGUAAAUAAAUAGUUAAAUAUAAACGAUUUUGAUUAAACUAAACUAAGACAUUUUUGUUUUGACCAAUGUAAAUUUUUAAGGCUUCUCACACAGGCCAGUGCGGGCGUAUUAAAGCUCAAUAUGCUUUGUACUUUCAUAGACUUAAAAAAAUAUUAAGGCAAAUUUUUUUUUUUUUUUUUUUUUUAUUGGCUCAAGUGAUCAAAUUUGGAUGUGAAAUACUUAGGCUACUAUUCUUUAAUUGGAUGAAUGAACAUUUUAGUUUUGAAUAAAGCUAUAUAAUAUCUUCUUGUUUAGAACAAAAAGAGAUUGUAAAUAAAUUGACUUUCUUCAACAAGACAAUUAUGUUUUGUACCAGGUUAUAUAAAUUUGUUCUCAUGGAGAUGAGAACUAUUUAGUUUUCAUUGGGUCAAGUGAUACAGUUGAGAUGUGAACCAUUACUCUAAUUUUUAUAUAGGAUGAAUGACUUUUUUUCCCAGUGUAGUAAUAUUUGCCUUGUAUAGGCAAAUAGGCUUACAAAUUUUCAUUUAAUGAAAAAUUAUGUUCAAGCUGAAAAAAAAAGAAAUAAAGCAACGAAAUUGGAAGUUCCGACUUAACGUUUAUUUUUAAUAAAUAGGUGCAGUAGGCCGCGUUCAGCUUUAAACAAAAUUAGUUAGUAUUCUUAUGAUCGACAUCACUUUGUGGAGCGAAAUAUUUUAAAGAACAUGUAUUUGUGGAAAAUAUUUACAAAAUACUGUUCAUUUUAACAGUGACCGUUUUGAUUAUCCCAAAAUAAUUUGGAAGUUUUUGACUUAACCCUUUAACUGCCUACUCUAUUUUGACUGUUUUAAGUCAUUUAAAAAAUGAGAGUUUUAAAUAAUGGUUUACACAGACAGCAAUGUUGGUUUACAAAAAAAAUCGAAUAAACAAUCCUAUUGCACUACUACAA